rnacentral:rRNA from 1 species
AAGCGAUUCCGGCGGGGGAUGGGCAUGCGGCGCAUUAGCUAGUCGGCGGGGUAACGGCCCACCGAGGCGACGAUGCGUAGGGGUUCUGAGAGGAAGGUCCCCCACACUGGUACUGAGACACGGACCAGACUCCUACGGGAGGCAGCAGUGAGGAAUAUUGGUCAAUGGGCGGGAGCCUGAACCAGCCAAGUCGCGUGAGGGAAGACGGUCCUAUGGAUUGUAAACCUCUUUUGCCGGGGAGCAACGGGGUCCUUGCGAGGGCCUAAUGAGAGUACCCGGAGAAAAAGCAUCGGCUAACUCCGUGCCAGCAGCCGCGGUAAUACGGAGGAUGCGAGCGUUAUCCGGAUUUAUUGGGUUUAAAGGGUGCGUAGGCGGGCUGUUAAGUCAGCGGUCAAAUGUCGGGGCUCAACCCCGGCCUGCCGUUGAAACUGGUGGCCUCGAGUGGGCGAGAAGUAUGCGGAAUGCGUGGUGUAGCGGUGAAAUGCAUAGAUAUCACGCAGAACUCCGAUUGCGAAGGCAGCAUACCGGCGCCCGACUGACGCUGAGGCACGAAAGCGUGGGUAUCGAACAGGAUUAGAUACCCUGGUAGUCCACGCAGUAAACGAUGAAUGCUAGCUGUCCGGGGCUUCGGUCCUGG